rnacentral:rRNA from 1 species
UACGGAGGGAGCUAGCGUUGUUCGGAAUUACUGGGCGUAAAGCGCACGUAGGCGGCUUUGUAAGUUAGAGGUGAAAGCCCGGGGCUCAACCCCGGAAUUGCCUUUAAGACUGCAUCGCUUGAAUCCGGGAGAGGUGAGUGGAAUUCCGAGUGUAGAGGUGAAAUUCGUAGAUAUUCGGAAGAACACCAGUGGCGAAGGCGGCUCACUGGACCGGUAUUGACGCUGUGGUGCGAAAGCGUGGGGAGCAAACAGG